rnacentral:rRNA from 1 species
UGUGACCGUACGUGAUCGCCCAGUAUGCGCAGCCGGACGCUAUUUUGUUACACCUAAGUGGCUAGUCGUCGAAAAGGGUAUUCCAUAGCACGUAGGUAAAGUCGCAGAGCUUAGGAUGGCCGGGCUAUCAGUAUUUGUAAGGUAUGGUCACCAGGAAAACGGUUAGCCGGCUGAAGAGGGACCGGCACACUGGGACUGAGACACGGCCAGAUUCUUACGGGAGGCAGCAGUAGGGAAUAUUGGGCAAUGGGCGCAAGCUUGACCCAGCGACGCCGCGUGAGGGAUGACGGUCUCGGAUUGUAAACCUCUUCAGUAGGGAAGAAGCGAAAGUGACGGUACUUAAGAAGAAGCACCGGGUAAUAUGUGCAGUAGCCGCGGUAAUACAUAGGGUGCAAGCGUUGUCCGGAAUUAUUGGGCGUAAAGAGCUCGUAGGUCGUGUGUCGCGUCAUUGUGAAAAUCUGAGGCUCAACCUCAGACCUGCAGUCGAUACGGCAACUAGAGUGUGGUAGGGGAGACUGGAAUUCCUGGUGUAGCGGUGGAAUGCGCAGAUAUCAGGAGGAACACCAAUGGCGAAGGCAGUCUCUGGGCCAUAACUGACACUGAGGAGCGAAAGUGCGGGGAGCGAACAGGAUUAGAUACCCUGGUAGUCCGCACCGUAAACGGUGGGCACUAGUUGUGGGAACCUUCCACGGUUUCCGCGACGCAGCAAACGCAUUAAGUGCCCCGCCUGGGGAGUACGAUCGCAAGAUUAAAACUCAAAGAAAUUGACGGGGCCCCGCACAAGCAGCGGAGCAUGCGGCUUAAUUCGACGCACGCGAAGAACCUUACCAAGGCUUGACAUAUACAGGAAUACGGCAGAGAUGUCGUAGCCGCAAGGUCUGUAUACAGGUGGUGCAUGGUUGUCGUCAGCUCGUGCCGUGAGGUGUUGGGUUAAGUCCCGCAACGAGCGCAACCCCUAUCACUAGUUGCCAUCAGGUAAUGCUGGGAACUCUAGUGAAACUGCCGUCGCAAGACGGAGGAAGGAGGGGAUGAUGUCAAGUCAUCAUGGCCUUUAUGCCCUGGGCUACACACGUGCUACAAUGGGUGCUACAAAGGGUCGCCACACAGUGAUGUGAAGCCAUCUCAAAAAGCACUCUCAGUUCAGAUCGCAGUGUCCAACUCGACUGCGUGAAGCUG